rnacentral:lncRNA from 1 species
UUUCAAAUUUUAGAUUCUAAAAUUUUCAAAUUUAAAAUAUGAUAUUUUAUAUUUUUUAAAUUUAAAAUUUGAUAUUUUAUAAUUUUUAAAUUUAAAUUUGAUCUUAAAUUUAAAAUUUAAAAUUUUAAAAUUUAUAAUUUGAGAUUUUAAAUUUUAAAUUUUAAAUUUAAAUAUUGAAAUUUAAAGAUUAAAAUUUAAAAAUUAAAAUAUAAAAUUUAAAAAUUUAAAUUCAAAUUUAAUGAGAUGAGUAAUAUCAUAAUUUUUUUAUUUAUAACUACCAACUAUUUUGUUUUAUUCCAUUUUAUUUAUCCAAACGUUGUUUAAUUUUCUUAUUCCCGAUAACAACCCAAUUUUCAUAUAAACGCAAAAUUGGUCUAAUUCUUGCUUAUAUCUGAACUUGUACCUAUCCCUGAAAUAAACUGUUCUUACUUAUACUCGAACCAAAUGAAGCCUUAGGUUUUUAGCCCUUGGAUCUAGCCCUUGUCUAUUAUUACCUUUCGGAUCAAUUACUAUUCAACCUACCACCACCUACCCCCACUAACCCGAAGUGACCUACUAUAUAUCAUCCUAGCCCUAUAUCAUGACCUCUAUCCUAUGCUUUUAAAAGUACCCAGUUACUGGUGCUGGUAGAUUUUCAGCUUUUGGAUGAAAAUUUGUAGGGAUAGAAUAAUAGUAGUCCCCUAAGGUUUAAUAGGUGGUUCGUGGAAUAACAUGAUCUAAGGGGUAAAAUUGAUUAAAAAAAAAGAUCUAACGGUGGAAAACUUGCAAGCACCAAUUGCUUGAUGCUUUUAAAAGCACUAUAGCUGGAUUAUAUAUGUAUAGAGUUAGGCUGGUAUGCUUUUAGAACAGAGGCCCUCCGUACUUUCAAGUCCAUUUUGAUGUUGGGACAUCCGAAUCUAAUACCUGAGAAUGUAAAUUUGGAAUUUGAAUAUGAUUUCGAAUAUAUAUAACUUAUAUAUGUGUAUAUAUAUGUGAAUGGAUUGAGAGAUGAUUGGAUUGCGAAUCGGGAACCGAUUAUGGCAAAACAAAAUCGAAGGUUUGAAAGUCUAGUAGUGCCGGAAGUGCUGGCACGAUCUGUUCAUAAAUCUGACGAACCGAUCGUCCGGAAUCACACGUUGUUCGAGGAAGGGUCGAUAUUGCAGUUUGGAUCUUUUCGCAAAGUCACUAUAUUUUAUGUAUGGAAUCGCGAGAGAUCGCAAGUGGAGGUGCGUUGACGCGUUUUACAUGCGCCCUGAAAGACUUGGGAUGGAAUUUGCAGUGUACGAGGGGUUUCAUG